AUCAGAAUCUUCAUUCAGCACUGGUGGUAGACACGUGAGUCCUCAUCGAUCGAGACUUCAUCCUUCUACAUUAGAAGCAUUAGUAUGCACACAGAAUUGGUUGAUGACUGACAAAAAAGUAACAAUAAAUGAUGAAGAUGUUGAUGUUGAUCCAACAAUGGUAACUAGUUCAGUUUUCGUAAUUUAUCAAAAAAAAUUAUCAAUUUUUAUUAUUAAUAUUUUUCUUUGUUUUUUUUCGGGAGCCUUACGUUGUUGAUCUUGAUGAUUAGAAUAUAUGUUGUUUUAUUGUUAGUUUUUAUUAUUAAUGUACUUUGUUAUUAGUAAUAUGAAUGUAAUUGAUAUUUCAACUCAAAUUAUAAUUAGGAAAUUUGUUUAGAACUUUA